GACGAACGCUGGCGGCGUGCUUAACACAUGCAAGUCGAACGGAAAGGCCUGCUUUCCCUUGUGGAUUGCGGGUACUCGAGUGGCGAACGGGUGAGUAACACGUGAGUGAUCCGCCCCCAACUUGGGUAUAAGCCUGGGAAACUGGGUCUAAUUCCCGAUAGGACUGCAGGGUGGUGCCUGUGGUGGAAAACGAUUUUCUAGUGGUUGGGGAUGAGCUCGCGGCCUAUCAGCUUGUUGGUGGGGUAAUGGCCUACCAAGGCGGCGACGGGUAGCCGGCCUGAGAGGGUGGACGGCCACAUUGGGACUGAGAUACGGCCCAGACUCCUACGGGAGGCAGCAGUGGGGAAUAUUGCACAAUGGGCGGAAGCCUGAUGCAGCGACGCCGCGUGGGGGAUGACGGCCUUCGGGUUGUAAACUCCUUUCGACCGCGAGGAAGCCACCUGGUUGGAAGGGUGGUGACGGUAGUGGUAGAAGAAGCACCGGCUAACUACGUG
rnacentral:rRNA from 1 species